rnacentral:rRNA from 1 species
GACGAACGCUGGCGGCGUGCCUAAUACAUGCAAGUCGAACGAGAGCGACCGGUGCUUGCACUGGUCAAUCUAGUGGCGAACGGGUGAGUAACACGUGGGUAACCUGCCCAUCAGAGGGGGAUAACAUCCGGAAACGGAUGCUAAAACCGCAUAGGUCUUCGAGCCGCAUGGCUUGAAGAGGAAAAGAGGCGCACGCUUCUGCUGAUGGAUGGACCCGCGGUGCAUUAGCUAGUUGGUGAGGUAACGGCUCACCAAGGCCGUGAUGCAUAGCCGACCUGAGAGGGUGAUCGGCCACAUUGGGACUGAGACACGGCCCAAACUCCUACGGGAGGCAGCAGUAGGGAAUCUUCCGCAAUGGACGCAAGUCUGACGGAGCAACGCCGCGUGAGUGAAGAAGGUUUUCGGAUCGUAAAACUCUGUUGUUAGAGAAGAACAAGUGCUAGAGUAACUGUUAGCGACUUGACGGUAUCUAACCAGAAAGCCACGGCUAACUACGUG